rnacentral:rRNA from 1 species
GACGAACGCUGGCGGCGUGCUUAACACAUGCAAGUCGAACGGACCUUAUGGAAUAGUUUACUAGGAAAUAAGGUUAGUGGCGGACGGGUGAGUAACACGUGGAUAAUCUGCCUGGCACACAGGGAUAACACUGUGAAAACGGUGCUAAUACCGGAUACGCUCUACUGAUUGCAUAACUGGUAGAGGAAAGGGGGAACCCGGUGCGAGAUGAGUCCGUGGCUGAUUAGCUAGUUGGUGGGGUAAGAGCCUACCAAGGCGACGAUCAGUAGCCGGCCUGAGAGGGUGAACGGCCACACUGGAACUGAGACACGGUCCAGACUCCUACGGGAGGCAGCAGUGGGGAAUCUUCCGCAAUGGGCGAAAGCCUGACGGAGCAACGCCGCGUGGGUGACGAAGGCCUUGGGUUGUAAGCCUGUCUUAUGGAAGAAAAAUAGACGGUACCAUAGGAGGAAGCCACGGCUAACUACGUG